CUUCUAUCUGUAGAAUACAUAAUAUAUAUAUAACACACCUUCCUGUACCGCUCUAUGACAUCUUUUGAAGGAUGUUUUUUCUAUUAAGAAGUAAAUGUAUUGUAAUAGGUAAAUUGUAUUUUGUGAGUAUACAAAUAAUGAAAGCAUAAUAUGAUUUCUUUAAUGGACAAAACCACAAUACAAGCACCCUAGUCAUUUACUCAUCCAUAUCACAAUACAAGCACCCUAGUCAUUUACUCAUCCAUAUCACAAUACAAGCACCCUAUCAUUUACUCAUCCAUAUUUUAUAAAAUGAAAAAAAAUAAAAAAAAUGAUUUUACUAACUACUAUAAUACUAGUAGAGUAUAGACAA